rnacentral:lncRNA from 12 species
CAAAACCCAGCAAAUAACAGUAGGAGUUGUGGAAAUUGUAAAUGUUCAUGCUGCUGUCCACACUGGCAAUAUCAGCAUUGAAGCAACCAUCCCUUUGCACAAGUAUUUGUAAUUUAUUUUCAAUUUUACCUUUUAUGAAGGAAGGGUCAUCCUCAGAAGGCAGAAGAUUUUCCACAUGUGUAGGUUUUGUCAAAAGCUGUGCUACCUAAAUUGCUCACCUAAACUGGGGAGGUGCUUAUGUGCAUGCUGCAAGCAUUCUCACUGCAGAGCAUCUUAGUAGUAAAGAGCCCAUUGCUGCAGUAGCAGGUGAGUGCUAACACCGGUUAGAAGUGUGAGAGAUUGUUUUCUGAGGAAGGAUGUAAUUCCUUGGCAGUUCCCAGAGCUGUUGAUUAGCUGCAGAGCAGGCAAACCUGGGAAGGUCUCAGUGGUCUGCAGCAGGAGCUGGGUGUGCAGCACAGGAAAUGGGUCACAUCCUCCGGGCCCGCCGGGGCCAGCAGGUCUCAGCAAACCUAUCUGGCUUCUCUUCCACUCUUCCCCUCGCUGAGAGCUGGAGGAUUUGCCCUGAAAUGAGCAGUGUUGACUGGAGGCUGCCUGUGCAUUUCCCAGCUCCACGGUGAGUUGCUCAGGCAGCAGCCGGCAGCGGAUGGGAUGUUGCUCGUACAGCGUGAUCAGGAGCACGCUAAAGGACAUGGUUCAGCCCAGGUGAUGCCUUGCCUUUCCUGGCACCUUCCUGGGUGUUACUGAUCAGCAGAAAGGAAGCUCUGAGGAAUUCCGUGGCCGUUCUGUCACCUAAAUAAAUAAA